rnacentral:rRNA from 1 species
CCGAGUGGUCGGUACGAUUAUUGGACCUAAAGCAUCCGUAGCCGGCCUUACAAGUCCUCCGUUAAAUCCAGCUGCUUAACAGAUGGGCUGCGGAGGAUACUAUAAGACUAGGAGGCAGGAGAGGCAAGCGGUACUCAGUGGGUAGGGGUAAAAUCCGUUGAUCCAUUGAAGACCACCAGUGGCGAAGGCGGCUUGCCAGAAUGCGCUCGACGGUGAGGGAUGAAAGCUGGGGGAGCAAACCGG